GGCAGGGCCAUGGACAGAGACAGGGCCAGGUCCUGGCAGGGCCAUGGGCAGGAACAGGGCCAGGUCCUGGCAGGGCCAGAGGCAGCACUCCCAGGUCCUGGCAGGGCCAUGAGCAGCACCCCCAGGUCCUGGCAGGGUCAGGGCCAGGGCCAGGUCCUGGCAGGGCCAUGGACAGAGACAGGGCCAGGUCCUGGCAGGGCCAGGGGCAGAGACAGGGCCAGGUCCUG